rnacentral:rRNA from 1 species
GACGAACGCUGGCGGCGUGCUUAACACAUGCAAGUCGAACGAUGAAGUUCCUUCGGGAAUGGAUUAGUGGCGAACGGGUGAGGAACACGUGAGAAACCUGCCUUUCAUUUUGGGAUAACUCCGGGAAACCGGGGCUAAAACCGAAUACUCCGUCUCGGCGGCAUCGCUGAGCCGGGAAAAAAUUUUGAUGAAAGAUGGUCUCGCGGCCUAUCAGCUAGUUGGUGAGGUAAUGGCUCACCAAGGCAACGACGGGUAGCCGGCCUGAGAGGGCGGCCGGCCGCGCUGGGACUGGGACACGGCCAAGACUCCUACGGGAGGCAGCAGUGUGGAAUAUUGGGCAAUGGGCGCAAGCCUGACCCAGCGACGCCGCGUGAGGGAUGAAGGCCUUCGGGUUGUAAACCUCUUUCAGUAGGGAAGAAGCGAAAGUGACGGUACCUAAAGAAGAAGCACCGGCUAACUAUGUGCCAGCCGCCGCCGUAA